AUUAAAUGUUACUGUGUUUUCACUGCAGCUACACAGAAUUGCUACUGUAUAGUUGAGAUUGAGAGAAGAUUGGUAUAGUAUUUCUCUGCCUUUUUCUGGGUACCUUAGCAUCCAUGUAUUUUGCCUGGUUCACACACUGUUCACAACUUCACUGCUCCAGCACAGUCUUAGUUUUCCAGACUGCCUCCUGUCUUCAUGGUGGCCAUUUUUGAACACCACUGCAACUUGUCAUAGGAGGGGGUUUAUCUUGUCAGGGAGGGGAGAUGCGGCUCUCCUCAACCCUCCAGGUGGCCCCCCCUUUCUUCACCACCCCUCCAGGGUGGUUCUGGUCACAAUUGGGACCUCCAACAAGUGAGCACAGAGCAAAACUGCACACAAUCACGGAUUCCGCUUUGACAUGAUGGAAGCACGACCGGAAGUUCCGGAAUUGGAUCUUGUUGAAUAAUUCUUUAUGUCUGCAGAAAAAAAGUUUUUUUUCAAGAAUUCAAUCAAUCAAUCAAAUGUUUAUUGUCAAUGCACAACAUGCGUACAAUGAAAUUGAAAUGAGCCUCCUUGGUGCUGGCCCUAUAAGUCUAUGCAAGUCUAUCAUAUUAAACCUAAUUGUGGCGUUCAACCUGUCCUUGGUCAUAUUAGAUAUCUGAGUAGCUUUUGAUACUAUUGACAGUAAUUUCCUGCUGGAUACCUACCAAGGCUGGGGAUGCUAUGCUUCAGUCGUGCCACUCCUGCCUGAGGCAGCCUUCAGAGAUUGUACUGAAACUGCAGCUAGGCAAAAAUGAUGCGACAGUCCUGUUAUGGUAGAGGAAUACUACUGGCUACCAAUUAGGCUUUUGGGCUUAAUUCAAAAUGCUGGUGAAAAUCUACAAAGCCAGGUAAGCAGUGGCAUCAGAUACCAUCAGAUUCUGGGUUGCCAGUCUUGAAUCUGCAUGUACUAAGACAGAAAGCCUGCUUGGAACUGGGAUAUGGAGCAGAUAGCAGUUCUUUUCUGUAACAGUUCCUGAAUUUUGGAACUCCUUGUCUGGGGAAUUUUGAGCAGUGACUUCCUUCCUAGAUUUUGUCAAACAACAAAACAACAACCCCCUGCUAUUUUGCCAACCCAUUUUAAUUAGGAUUGAAUGAUGUUGUGGCCACUUGAGGCAUUUCUAUUAAUUAUAUUUUAUUCCUUUGUAUUCUGUAUUUACAUUCUAUUAUAAGCUCCCCAAAGUUUGUGAAUUAGAGUAGGCUGCAAGAAUUGAG
rnacentral:lncRNA from 1 species